rnacentral:lncRNA from 1 species
ACAAACCAUACCAAAUUAAGUUGAAUAUAUAUAGCACAUGUUUCUACAUGUUUAGAAACUUGUCACAUUCUUGCAUCCAAAUGUUCAAUAUAAAUUCCCAGAAAAUUAUAUACAUCAAUGGACAUUCCUUUAACAAUUUCCUGCAAUUUCAGGCUGCCUUUGAUAAAUCUCUAUUUUUGCUGCUGCAUUUGGCCGACCACUUUGACCUAACAGAAUUCUUGUGUAUUCUUUUUAAUCGGCCGACCACAUUAACCUAUCAAAAUUCUAGUUUAUUCUUUUUAACAUAUUCUCAGAUAUUUUGUGCCUUCUUGGCAACAUCUAGUUCCAUGAAUUUGAGCAAGAGAAUUCUUGAUCUCUCACUUUCCCUUCGUCCAUAUCGUAGACAAGUUGUUGCAUUUUAAAUUUUGCUGCAGUUGAGUACCUUAUGGUUGACAAGUCUUGCUAUCGUUGAACUUUUGAAGUUGGCAAAGAAAAUUUGCAUAAUGCAAUUAAAAAAGAAUUUUAGGGUUUCAAACCAAGAUAAUGUGUCUAAUACAGGAAGCCAAUUUUUGUUCUUUCCCCAACAAUCUAAAUAAGCAAAUAUACAUCUUAAUUUCCGAAGAUUGGGUGUUUUUCUCACCACCCCCUCUACAUUUUUC